UACGUAGGGAGCAAGCGUUGUCCGGAUUCACUGGGUGUAAAGGGUGCGCAGGCGGGAAAGUAAGUCAGAGGUGAAAUCUCACAGCUUAACUGUGAAACUGCCUUUGAUGCUGCUUUUCUUGAGUUCGGGAGAGGUUGAUGGAAUUCCAGGUGUAGCGGUGAAAUGCGUAGAUAUCUGGAGGAACACCGGUGGCGAAGGCGGCAUCCUGGACCGACACUGACGCUGAGGAGCGAAAGCCAGGGGAGCAAACGGG
rnacentral:rRNA from 1 species